rnacentral:lncRNA from 1 species
CCAGGCUGAGGCCGCCGUGGCUGUGGCCGACUAGGACCAGCCUGUCGCCGUCGGGGGCCGCGGCGACCGCGUCCAGCAGCGGGCGCGAGUAGUCCUCGAAGGAGCGCACCUCGUGCAAGCGCGCCGGGUGCGCGCCAGACGCCGCCAGGUCCAGCGCCGUCACGCGGUGGCCGGCGGAUUCCAGCACGGUGGCAACCUUGUACCAGCACCACGCGCCGUGGCAGAGACCGUGCACCAGCACGAAGUGCUUGCCGCCGCCGCCGACCUCCAUUGCUGCUAGCUUUGCUACCUGUGCGUCGGUGUGGAGUGCUAGGCUGCUAGCUGAAGAGUUUGUGAUCGAUUGAUCUUGUGUGCUUCAGUGUUGGUGUGCAGAGCCUGCAGGGCGUGAUGUUUAUAUAGAGGCGCGGUGGUGAUUGCCACUGCGUUUCUUCUCCUUCAAGUUGAUCAUCAGUCAUCUCACCUUCUGCUGCAAGAAGCAAGUGUUGACUCAAUUCCUGGAAGCUGGUUUGCCUUUAUACAGUAUAAUAGAACAAUUCUGAAAUGAGUUGGUAAUGCACGAGUUAAUUGACGAAUCAAGAUUCGCUUAUCAUUGUAGUCCCAUCGUCCAGAAAAAGAUAAGAUAAUAUAAUUUUAGAAUAGCACAAAGUCAAAAUUUCCCAUUUAGUCAAACUUUAGAUACUUUAAUUAUGGAUAGAAACAUAAAUUCAUCUUUAGCAAACAGAGGCAGUAUUGUUAAAUUUCCAUGAUCAGUAAGCUCUAGAACUUGGACAGAACUUGAACAAAGCUAGUGCUAUACUCAUACCUUUGCUGGAUGAGUUAGACAUUGGGCUAGCUGAUGGCUCGUGCCUGCUUGAAGCAGGCGAAAUGCAGUAGAGGCUCGGUGUGGCGUAGCUCUUCCCAGUGCUGCAGUAACUGCAUGGUCAGUGACUUAGAGUAGUGUUCCUUUCACUGGAUUUCACUACCUCUGGAUGGCCUGGGGGUGCCUCUCCAUUUAACUUUGCUGCUGCACAUUGGGGGGCUUUCCUUGUCAACAAUGGUGGCUGCUUGCUCAAGUCCUUGCCUCUGACCAAGGCUGAGGACAUACCAAGCUGUUGCUGGUUUUUGGAAGUCUUCCUGGCUUCCUGUCAUGCGCAGUGAGUACCGUAGCAACACACAACCAAUUUAGUGUUUCCACACUUGGUUCUUAUGAUCAAUUCAAUAUUCUGCCUUACUGUCACAAAUUCAUUUCUCAACAAAAUGAUAAACCAAGACAUAGGAUUACAAUAGUCAAUUAAGUAGUACCGUUGAACUCUGAUGACUAUAGUACAUCGUUCCAUUUUAAAAUGAACUUGUUUGGAAAUUAUGUGAAAAUGCUACAAAUAUGCUCCGGUUUAUUCUAGAAUCAGAGGUUCUCUACUAGACCUAUGCAGGUAACAUGUCCAUCGAAUACAAUGGGUGUUAGGCCUUUAGUGAGGAGAACCACUAGCAUAAACAUCAUAUUUAUGCACUUGACAUCAAUUGCCUCGUCCUGCAUUCUAUCUUUCAAAACAUGGUGGUAAGAAUCAAGAUGGCUAGAGGGGGCAGGGGGAAUAGCCUAUAAAAUUUUCUCCUACAAAGCACAAUCCACUAGAGCAUGGUGGUUAGUACAAUAAGUGACCCUAACAACAAGGUACUAGCACUAGCUCUAUUUCACUUCAAGCAAGCGUUGUACAUAAGUCUAGUAGUGGUUGGUUCUUGAACUAAAACGCUUCACCACACAAGGCUACUAGCAACUACGCUACACUAGAGGGCUAGACAAAGAAGCAACCAACUAGUUACUGCUAAUAAGAACAAGACCUUUUCUAAUGGUGGGAAUCGUUUCCAAUCGCCUCCCAUCAUCUCCAUUAAAAAACUUUUUUCUUGAUUUAAUUCGUGGAAGGGUAAUAACAUCAUUGUAUAUGGUUCUCUCAAACCCCAACCCUUAUCGUCGGUGACGACGGCUGUCUGUAACACACUGGUGGAUACCGACGGGUGCAACUCUAAGAAAAUUUAAAAAAACUAAACAAGAAAAAAUUUAUCUAACUAACUAUAGUACUUGAAUCAUACACCCUAACUAUGCUACUCAAAAUAUUAUUUUUAUAAUUAUGAAUUUACCCUUUUACCCUUCAUUAAAAAAGAAAUUACCACGCCUCUAUUUUGGGUCCUAAUCCCUAUAAUUUCGGAGAUGAUGGGAGACGAUGUGACGUCUAUGGCCCACCGACCAUAGACACGCCUAUCGCCUUGCUCUCAUUGUCUCUCAUCGCUUUUCAUAUUCUGGAUCCGCUGACCAAAGACAAUAGAGCUUAUACCGCUACGCACAAGAUGGCACAAUCAAUUUUUGGUUGCUUGCCGGCAACUUAAUCUCCGUUGUGGUGAGCCUUAUGGUGAGUAAUUCACACACUAGCUAACAUCACAUGCUAGACCCUCAACUUAGGUGUCACAAGAAUUACCCACACAAGCCUCCUUCUAGCCACACAUAAUUUAUUAGAGUAUCCCCUUUGCACUUCCUGAGGCAGGAUCAAGCACUACUACAUAUCUCACAUUCACUGCCGACUCCAUCGCCGUCGGUUUUUAAGAAACCAACAAAUUGUACAUUUUUAGUUAAAAUCUGUAGAAAUAGGACCAACCGACAUUAAUAUUGGAUGAUCACUAUCGGUUUUUGACUAAAACUGACAAUGAUAGUAUUAGUGUCGCUUUUAGGCAAGAAAGGACAAUAAUAUUAGAAACCGACAGCGUAAGAAAACUUCAUAACUUUCUCAUAUAACGAUGUCUGAUAUAGAUGAACUUUAUACAUGAUGAUCAACUUGAUUAGGAACAGAAACAACCACCAAUGCCCCUCAUCAAUCACUAAAGCUCUAAUCAUCUAGGUGGCGGCAACCAUUAAAAAUAACGAGAGCUUCAACAAUCACUAGUGCCAUCAAGAUGCAAUCCAAUAACAAUGCAGUGUUUUUACAAGUACGGAGGGAGUACUAGUCUACUACACGUAAUUUUUCAAAAGAAAAAAAACAAAACACUGGUGUGGUACACGCGCCAAGAAUAGUCGUCGUCAGUCUUUAGUCGUAUCUUCUGGCUACUCCGACAAGGACGUCGCAAAGUUCCCUUGGCUUGGAGUUCAUGACUGCGUGGUCGGCGCCGGCGAUCUCCUGCACCUCCGUGCCGGGGUUCGUGGCCUCUAUCCAGCGCUGCACCUCCUCGGUGCUGGUGCUGGAGCCAUGGGCGGCCUUGGCGACCACGAACACCUUCUUGAUCGACCCGUAGUUGGCUGCCGUGAGCAGCGCCUCGUCCUUCAUCACCGGGUCGUCCAUGAACUGGUUUCCAGGCCUCACCAGCUGCUUCGCCAGGGUCACAUCCUCCGCUGGGCUCUCCUUGUAGCACUUCUGCAAGAACUUUGGACCCAUCACGAUCGCUGUCCCUUGCUGCCCGCCGGCAUCUUCACUGCCGGUGCCGAUGCCGGUGCCGGUGAUGGGCACCAUUUGGCAGUCCAUGAGCAGCCCUUUGGAAGCAGCUUUUUUCAUGAACUGCAAGCAUUCAUCAGAACAAAAAUUUCCAAAUUUGACAUGAGAUGCUAGAGGCAUAUAUACUUUUCUUGUGAAACAAUGGCUGGUGCGUGCGUGUGUACCGCCUCGGUGCCGACGCCGAUGUGCUUGCCGACCCACGGCAGCGCGGCGUCUACGAACACGGCGGCGGCGACCUUGCGCGGGAACCUCUCCAUGGCGAGCGCGAGGCUGGCGCCGCCGUGGCUGUGGCCGACGAGGACCAGCCUGUCGCCGUCGGGCGCCGCGGCGACCGCGUCCAGCAGCGGGCGCGAGUAGUCCUCGAAGGAGCGCACCUCGUGCAGGCGCGCCGGGUGCGCGCCCGACGCCGCAAGGUCCAGCGCCGUCACGCGGUGGCCGGCGGAUUCCAGCGCGGUGGCCACCUUGUACCAGCUCCACGCACCGAGGCAGAGACCGUG